AACGGAUAAAAGGUACUCUGGGGAUAACAGGCUGAUACCGCCCAAGAGUUCACAUCGACGGCGGUGUUUGGCACCUCGAUGUCGGCUCAUCACAUCCUGGGGCUGAAGCCGGUCCCAAGGGUUUGGCUGUUCGCCAUUUAAAGUGGUACGCGAGCUGGGUUUAGAACGUCGUGAGACAGUUCGGUCCCUAUCUGCCGUGGACGUUGGAGAUUUGAGGAAAGCUGCUCCUAGUACGAGAGGACCGGAGUGGACGAACCUCUGGUGUUCGGGUUGUGUCGCCAGACGCAUUGCCCGGUAGCUAUGUUCGGAUAGGAUAACCGCUGAAAGCAUCUAAGCGGGAAGCCCCUUCCAAGAUGAGAUCUCCCUGGACCUUUAAGGUCCCUGAAGAGCCGUUCAAGACCAGGACGUUGAUAGGUCGGGUGUGUAAGCGCUGCGAGGCGUUGAGCUAACCGAUACUAAUUGCUCGUGCG
rnacentral:rRNA from 11 species